ensembl:lncRNA
UGAAAAUAUAAGCAACUGCAAAAAUGAACUAACUACUGUAUAGUGGGGACUUUUAUAUUGAAAAUAGCAACUUUCUGAACAUUUAUUGGAUAUUUAUAAUCAGGUUUUUGACCUGGAAAAAGGCAAAUACUCUAUUCAUGAUCAUCCAUAGACUAUUUAUCACAACAAUAACAGAAAAUGUUAAUUUAUUUCUAAAUAACUUAAUAUUCACAAGCUAGGGCUUUAUUUUGAGAUCCGUAUUACGUACAGUAUAAGACAAAAAUUCCUGUUCUAUUCAGUAUCUUUCUCUUUUUUUCUCUGUCUAAGUGUUCGUUCAAUAGGUUGCAAUACUAUUUCUUACCAAUGGGUGGAAAUAUAUGCUACUUAAAAUCUUCUCACAGCUGUACAGGGAGGGUACAAAAUUUCAGUACAUUAAAACCACACCAUAAUGAUUCCCACAAAAAAAAAAAAAAAAAAAAGUAAUAAUAAUAAUAAUAUUUUCAUUUGCUAAAUAAGCAAUUUAAAUUGUUAGUGCUACAAUUCUGUAAAUUAUGGAUUGUGGUAAGGUUUCUAGAAAUAUUUUCAUUUCAUUUUCAUUUUCCAGUCUUUUCUCUCUCUCACUUUCUCUCUCUCACUUUCUCUCUCUCUCUCUCUCUCUCUCUCUCUCUGAGGUGUAUACCUCAUAUUGUAUUGCUAUUUCCUCUUCCAGCUACUUUAUUUAUUCAAUAUAUCUGCUAUUUUCACUUGAUUCAUUCCACUAUAUUUAAUUUCUUUUUAGCCUUUUCACCAUCUCUCCUUUCCUCCAUUUAUCUUCUCAAUAAAUUUUUCUGAUUAUCCUCUUCCCCUCCUCAUCCUCCUCCACCACCCACCUUCAUUAUAGCGACUUGCCCUCUCCUAACUUCCCUUCUUUCGUGAUCUUUCUCUUAUCCCUACUCUUCCUGUUUUUAAUUGUAUGCUAAAUGAAAUGCUAAACCUACACACCCUUGACAUUUAAAGCACACACACUUGAGAAUGCACAUGCAUAAACACGCACACACACACUUAUUGUGUUGCAUAUCAAAUGAAUGUGUGUGUGUGUGUGUGUGUGUGUGUGUGUGUGUGUGUGUGUGUGUAUGUGUGUGAAAUGGAAUGGAGGGUGUUUGUGUAGUGGGGCUGGGUAUACAAUUUUCAAAUACUGAAAUUGUGUAUAUCUGAACGUGAGUGAGGCAAUACAAACUAAUUAUGAAAUAAGUUUUUAUUAUUGUUCAUACUUGGGGCUCGGUAGUUAGCCAUUACUUUUCUAAAUGAUCUGAUCAAUGAUUUUUGCCUUGUGGAUGAUAAAAAUGGGCAUAGACUUUGAAGAAGGGAUCUUUAGAAAUUACAUGAUCCUUCAGAAAUCAUUCGAAUAUGCUGAUUUGGUCCUCAGUAAACAUUUUUAUUAUUAUCAGUGUUGAAAACAGUUGUGCUGCUUAAUAUAUAGUGAAAACCAAGGUUUUAUUAGGAUUGUUUGAUGGAGAACAGCAUUUAUCUGAAACAGAAAUAUUUUGUAAUAUAAAAGUCUUUACUGUCACUUCUUGUUCAAUGUAAUGGGUCCUUGCUGAAUAAAAUUUCUUAGGGGGAAGAUGAAUCACACUGCGACCUCACCGUGUCUGCUGUCAGGUACCUGCAUGACAUCAUUGUUCACUCAGAGAGCUGGACAGAACAUCUCCAGAAGGCUGCUAUAUGAGCUUCAGAAGCUGUACUGAUCACCAA